UACCUGAACUAGAAUGUGAGGGAAGAAAGGGUAAUUCCGAUCGUCCGGGAAACCGGACCCAAAACAAGGUGCUGCAUGGCUGUCGUCAGCUCGUGUCGUGAGAUGUUGGGUUGAGUCCCGCAACGAGCGCAACCCUUACGGGCAGUUGCCAUCAUUAAGUUGGGAACUCUGCUCGGACUGCCGUUGAUAAAACGGAGGAAGGUGGGGAUGAUGUCAAGUCAUCAUGGCCUUUAUGUUCAGGGCUACACACGUGCUACAAUGGCCGGUACAAAACGUUGCAAUCCCGCGAGGGGGAGCUAAUCGCAAAAACCGGUCUCAGUUCGGAUUGAAGUCUGCAACUCGACUUCAUGAAGUUGGAAUCGCUAGUAAUCGCAAAUCAGCAUGUUGCGGUGAAUACGUUCCCGGGUCUUGUACACACGC
rnacentral:rRNA from 1 species